rnacentral:rRNA from 1 species
CCUACGGGUGGCAGCAGUGAGGAAUAUUGGUCAAUGGUCGGGAGACUGAACCAGCCAAGCCGCGUGAGGGAUGAAGGUACUAAGGUUCGUAAACCUCUUUUGUAUGGGAACAAAGUCUGGGACGCGUUCCUGUAUGAAUGUACCUUAUGAAUAAGCAUCGGCUAACUCCGUGCCAGCAGCCGCGGUAAUACGGAGGAUGCGAGCGUUAUCCGGAUUUAUUGGGUUUAAAGGGUGCGUAGGUGGGUUGUUAAGUCAGUUGUGAAAGCUGGGGGCUCAACCGCAGCACCGCAGUUGAAACUGGCAGUCUUGAGUAGGAGAGAGGUAGGCGGAAUGCGCGGUGUAGCGGUGAAAUGCUUAGAUAUCGCGCAGAACUCCGAUUGCGAAGGCAG